rnacentral:lncRNA from 1 species
GUAUUGUUGUACUGUAAGGAACUGAAAGCUCAAAAAACUGUCCACUUGCUCAAGACAUCUGGAAUUACUAACAUGGCUUCAUCAUUCAGCGAAGACGAAAUGGUAAUAGGGAUAUGACAAGAAAUUAAUUUGAUGUUCACUGAGCAAUGACCUUUAUUACACUUUUUCUCAUACUUGGGGUUAUGCUUCCUGGAGCUACAAACAGUAAACACAAAUACUGGAGUUACUCCGACAGUGAUGAGAGAUUCUACAUGUUCCGGUUUCCGAAAAUCUAUCGGUACCCUGUAUGGCCAGUUCUUCCUCCUGUACCAAUCCUGCCUUGGCCUCCCAUUCCUGCACCAGUGCCAGCACCCUCGCCAGUGCCCAGGACUCCUGGCCCACCUGGCACCACACCCAGGGGGGACUCACGCUAGGGGAAACCAAGAUGCAGGGGGACAAAAUGCGACAUUGUUUCAUUAAACUGUUAAAAUUAAGUACCAUUUACUAAAUGUCAGGAAUUCAACAUAUGUAUGUCAACAUUUUUAAGACACCACCCAUCCUCCAGCCAGUCUUCCAGGUCUCUGAGAUACUGAGUCAGGACUUCAUGUUUCCCCAGUCUGCUGUCCUGGUUGUUACAACCCGAUUAUUAUAUGUAAUGCUCACCUGUAACCUGUCAUAAUCAGUCACUGCAUGUUCCCUUUUCUUCUCUUGUGAAUUUGUAUAUAGUUUGUUUCAUAUUGACAGGUGAACUGGUGUGUUUGCAGUUUGAUGGACACGUUAUUUUUCUACUACAUGAUUUGACAUGACACCAUUGGUCUACAUUUUCAUUUGGCUCUUUUUAUGCCAUAAAUAUGCUUUAUCUCUGCUUUACAUGCUUUUAAAUAAAAAUUAUACUACACAAGU